AGGUAUGCCGCUAAGCAAACAUGCCACACACAGCGGAAUUAGUGCAAGAGGUUUAUCGGGAGGGAGAGAGCCGAUAGUGGAAAAAGCCAAAGGCUGCGCUGGAGUGGGGACUUGAGAGAGGCAGGCAGACCAGAGGAAGAGAAGCAAGAGAGACAAGAAGAGGCAAGAGAGGGAAGGAGAGGCAAGGAGAGGAGGAAGAGGCACGAGACGAGGCAAACAGGAAGAGCGCUGCCUGGCGGGCACUUUUAAAGGGUGCACAUGCCAUCGAAAAGGACCUGGAGACAGGAGAUGAGGUAACUGCUUUGGCAGAGGCUGGGCAGGGGACAUGCAGCUUAUCAAGGAGGCACAGUAGCAGGCUUCAUAGCUAGCAGGAGCUGAGUAGAGCAGGAAGAAAGAACAGAGAUAAGGACUUGGGAAAAGCAUGAAAACAGGGUUCCCCCUUCCAUCUAUCUAUUGGAUCGGUGGUAGAAGUUGCCAAGGUCCCGUGAAAUACUGGGAUAUGGAGUUCCGGUCCACUCUUCCUGAAAGACAUGUGCCAUGUCUGAAGCCCUCAACAUCUCCUGGAAAUGCCAUAUCCGCCCAAGCUCCUGGGACAUCAGUGCUGGUACCACCUCUCCAGGCUCAAGUGCAACUUGACUUCUCUGCUUCCUCAAGAAACAGAUUCCUGAGGUCUCCAGGAUGGCAGUUAACCAAAUGCUUCUUCACCCACACCUCAGGCUCAGCAUGACCCACUGACUCCCAACUUCCCCUCUCCAUGUCAUCCCAUACCAACAGGAAGAAGCCAGACUUGAAGCUAUGCCCAUAUGUCCAAGAAGGUCAGGAUGUGGAUGUUCGGCUGGAACCUCCAGCUCCACCCCAUUCCAUUCCCCACCCUCUCAGAAAGAACUUGUCCACAGGGUCUUUAAGCCCCCUCCUCUAGACCAGCCAGUGAUUUCUCCUCUUCCCUUCCCCUACCUCACCUCUGGGGACUGGAGAGAUCACCUGGGGGUGCUGUGCCCAAUAAACCUGGUCUUUUUAAUACA